AGGUGAGCGAGAGAACUGUUGCCAAGGAACUCGGCAAAAUGACUCCGUAAGUUAGCGAGAAGGAGUGCUUAAGCAAUUAAGCCGCAGUGAAGAGGCCCAAGCGACUGUUUAACUAAAACACAGCUCUCUGCGAAGUCGCAAGACGAAGUAUAGGGGGUGACACCUGCCCGGUGCUGGAAGGUUAAGAGGAUCUGUUAAGAGCGAUCUGAAGCAGUGAUCCGAAGCCCCAGUGAACGGCGGCCGUAACUAUAACGGUCCUAAGGUAGCGAAAUUCCUUGUCAGGUAAGUUCUGACCCGCACGAAAGGUGUAACGAUUUGGGCGCUGUCUCGGCAGCAGACUCGGUGAAAUCUUAGUACCUGUGAAAAUGCAGGUUACCCGCAACUAGACGGAAAGACCCCAUGGAGCUUUACUGCAGCCUGAUAUUGAAUUCUGGUCAUACAUGUACAGGAUAGGUGGGAGACAAAGAGACGUGCACGCCAGUGUACGAGGAGUCGUCGUUGGGAUACCACUCUUGUGUGACCGGGGUUCUAACCUGGUAUCGAGAACAGGUACGGGGAGAGUGUCAGGUGGGCAGUUUGACUGGGGCGGUCGCCUCCCAAAGAGUAACGGAGGCGCCCAAAGGUACGCUCAGAUUGGAUGGAAACCAAUCGUCGAGUGCAAUUGCAGAAGCGUGCUUGACUGUGAGACAAACAAGUCGAACAGGGACGAAAGUCGGGAAUAGUGAUCCGGCGGUGCCGAAUGGAAGGGCCGUCGCUCAACGGAUAAAAGCUACCCUGGGGAUAACAGGCUGAUCUCGCCCAAGAGUUCACAUCGACGGCGAGGUUUGGCACCUCGAUGUCGGCUCAUCGCAUCCUGGAGCUGGAUUCGGUUCCAAGGGUUGGGCUGUCCGCCCAUUAAAGCGGUACGCGAGCUGGGUUCAGAACGUCGUGAGACAGUUCGGUCCCUAUCUGUUGUGGGCGAAGGAGAUCUGCGGAGAGCUGUCCUCAGUACGAGAGGACCGGGAUGGACCUACCGCUGGUGCACCGGUUGUUCCGCCAGGGGCAUAGCCGGGUAGCUAAGUAGGGAAAGGAUAAGCGCUGAAAGCAUCUAAGCACGAAGCCUACUCCAAGAUGAGAUCUCCCAUUCGCAAGAAGUAAGACCCCUUAAAGACGAUAAGGUAGAUAGGCCAGGGAUGGAAGUGCAGUGAUGUACGGAGUUGACUGGUACUAAUCGGUCGAGGACUUAAUCAG
rnacentral:rRNA from 1 species